CACAGCUGUAGGCAACUGUCUAGGUUGAUUGUACCUAGGCAAGUGUUACACUGCUGGGAGAAAAUCAGUUAAUAGCUGGCUGACAUU
rnacentral:snoRNA from 1 species